AUUCUUAAUAUCAUUUAAUUUAAUUGAACGAUAUUUUCUCAAACAUCUUUAUUCAAGUUAAAAAGCUUCAAUUUACGGAACAAAUUUAAAAUGCACUUCUUUCUAAAUUUUCUCUCUCCUACAUUUGUUUUUCUUCCAAAAUGCCCCAUUUCCUUCUAUCUUUAUACACGUUAGACUAGUACAAUAUUUACACACACGCACUCACAACCUUUUAUAGACUGUAUUUAUAUCUUUUCCCCGGCUUCUACUUCUCUCCCUUCUUCUUAUUCUCAACUCUCUCCUUAUCUUUUGAGACACAUGGACACGAACAUAUCGUCGGCGAGAACUUGUCUGGUAUCACACCUGUCCGCAAUCGUAAUCGUCCUUUCUCGUAAUAUCGAUUACAAUCAUUAUUUCAUCUACAGUUGACAUUUAUAUUUAUUUCUAAUAAAUGUGAAAAAAAAGAAAGAAGAAGAGAAAGAAGAAAAAGUCAUUGGAAUUUAAUGAUACGAAUUUAUUGGCCUACGAACAACCUUGAACGAGAAGAAUGUGAAUAAAAUGUAGGCCUACCAGAUUUUAAAUUUCGGCUCAUAAUUAUUUCUACUUUUAUAGACGAAUUUAAGCGCGUCAAUCUGGAAAAAGUCAAAUCAACGUGAGAUUUGAUGACCCGAUUGUACGACACAUCGGCAUCGCUAGGCUUGGUUGGCCAAGUUUAGCCAUGAACAACCCCUGAUGAAAGAGUUUCGAGAGCUCGCCGACGCAUUUUGCGGCGACAUGUCGCUGACUCGGUCUGCUCUAAACUCGUUCGACGACAACGACGACGACAAGAAGGAGGGACGCGAGUAAUAAUACUCGUAAGUGAGUACGAACUUGUUGGACGAUGCGACGAAGUAUCCUUUUAAUUCGUUACGAAUCACCAGUCGGGUGCGUUUCCUUUUUUUUUUCUUUACAUCUUCUUACGUCGUGUUACUCUUAAUGUCCUUCCCUUCGAGUACUAUCCGAAUAUCGAGCUUUGAUUUUUAAAAUGUCGCACGCACGUCGCUUCGUAGCACAUUUAAUCAAUACGAUUUCGACAUUGUUUCUCUCUUCUUUUUUUUAUUUGUAUUUUUCUUUACUUUUUCAUCUUGUAAUAUGGUAGAUAACAAAAAGUGUUACACUUUACGUUCUUUCGAAUUACGUUUUGGAAAUUUUAUCGUUUGAUUCAAUCGUUCAAUCAAUUUUUGCUAUUUGCUCAAAUUGAUAGGACAUUUUAGAUAAAAAAAAAAAGUCAGAAUAAUUAAGCCAGUUGACAGAUCGUUCCUGUAUCAUGUGAGACUUAUGUAGGUAUAGGAACGAUCUUAUCCAACCGUUAGCAUUCCGCAUCCCGACGAAUCGGAGCGAGACACGCGCUGGUCCUCGCAAACUCGCACGACGACGAGAGGAAGGAUGACGUCAUCGAUGCCGAAACAUCGUAUUAUUCGUUUCCGAUCAAAAAUCUUUCGUGCAGAACGAAUAACAACGCGCUCGAGCAUCGGUCAUCGAUGAGCUAUUUGAAACAACCUCGCUCGAAGCCAUCAUCGAUGGGAAACUACCAGAAGGAAUUGAUGAAACUGCUGACGAAGUUUUAGUAUCUUCAACAUGCGAAACGAUCGGUCCAGGCAAUAAUCCAAAAUUAGAAGAAGAAGUUAAAGUGGACACAUCGGUAGCACCGAUCGACGAUGAAGCAGAAUCGUUCGAAUAAACAAAUGUAGGAGUUAUUUCGCUAAUUGGUGCAGUAAUCGAAGAAAUUGUCGUUGUCGUUAUGGAUUUAGGUAAAACAACAGGAGACGUAGUGCAUGCUAAAGUCGUCGUUGUCGGUGUUAGGGUAGAAGAGAUCGAUAAAGCCGAGCUAGGGAUCGGUACCGGCUGAGUCCUCGCUCCAGCUUCGCACAAUUUUGCAUCCAGCUUCUCGGCUAACCGGGUUACUUCUGCCAAUUUCGCAGAGAUCGCUUCGACCGCUGUUAGAUUAGCGGCUUUGCCCGAAGCAUCCUCGGCUUCGGACAUUCUAGAAAGUGAUAAAUAUGAUGUUUAAUACUUAGCCUGGUAUAAAAAGAUUUUACUGCGUCUCGUACCUUACUUCGUAACGUCUAGAAAAAGAGAAAAAUAAUAGGGAAGAAAAAGAGAGAGAGAGAAAUAUCUUCGAGUUAUUUUUCAAUGAGUCGAUAAGUAUAUAAACCGAGGAAAUAUUAAUUAUUACAUAUGUAAGUGGUUUAUACUUUAUAAAAGUUAUAAAACGAAUUGAGCACUGAAGAAAUAAUUUCGAAUAAAAUUCGACACCGAUCGAUCUGUUUUCAUUGACAAAAUUAGAUACGCGAGUACCUUCUAAGAUAAAACGUCAAAUUUUAGUGAUUGCGUAAGAACGACGACAGUGACAGCGCGCCGUGAUGGCGCGUCGUCGGCCAGAUGGUCUUUCAAUGUGGGACGAAGUUCUAAUUUCGGGGAGCAGAUACACCGUCUGUAGCAUCAAGUACCAGGAUCAUCCGCCGUUUUUAAUCUAUACGCCAUAAGUUUCUUGUAUUCGAAUAUAAAAAAAAAAAUAUUUAAAAAUGAUUUUAAAACUCUAACGCCGACAUAGUUUUGAUCAAUAGAGUUUCUUCGAUUCGUGGAAAAGUGCCAAUCGGAUUUUCCAAACACGAAACGUGGGUGAGAGAAUGAUGAUAUAAUCUAUCCACGUUGAAGAAUUUAUAUCAGAGAUCUGGAAUUAAUGUCAGUACAUAUUUUGGUAUGAUUGAAAUCAUACAGGCGGUAAAUACAUUCGUACAAAACAUUUGAUCAACAAUUGGUAAACAAUAUGAUAUAUCUUAGAAACGGCAAGCUAGGACAAAGUCUAACAAUAAGCAACACUUUGCGGAGUUAUUUUUUGACCAUGACCGUCUAUGAAAUAAGACUUUUACUUCUAUGAAUACUGUUCUUGAAAUGUGUUAAAGACACACGACCGUCCCAUAUUCGUCGCGCCAAGAACACAUAUGAGAGAAGCAUCAAAGACGAGUACACGUGUUUGAUCUGAUUCGCUUUCACAUUUCUACGAAUUCGAAUAUAAUCGGACGAUUAGACGUGUAAAUAAUAUUAUACAACAAGUAACAAGUUUAUAAUCAUUUUCUAUAGAUCAUAUCGACAAGACGUUCAAAGGAUAAAAAAGAAGUGAGAAGAACAAAGAAAUGUCUUUAGUCUUAGGUCUGAUAUAACUCACAUGAACCGCUCAUAAGAUGUUGCUAUCCCUUCGACGAACAACCAUGAACUGACACGCCGCCUCUAUUAAAAACGGAGCUAACCGCCAACUUAGCCCCCCCCCCUUUCUUGCCCCUUACAAUUUAUAUUCAACUUUAUCUCCCCUGGCACUUUAGUUUACGGAAAGCCACGUACUACGACGAGUGAAAUAUACCUUAUGUUUAUUGAGUUAACCCAAUUGCACGAUCUCCUCUCUCGGGCUUUCAUUUUCUCUUUUUUCUUUUUUUUUUUUUUUUUUUCUUUUUUUGUUCAUACAACACCAAAAUACCGAUCGCGAUAAUGUUUUCACUUUGAUGAAUUAUUUUCUUUAAAUAAUAACUUAGCGAUUAAUUUUAUGAAUCGUCGAUCCGUCGUCGUACUUGCCGUUGAUGGUAUACGGGUUCCUUUAAUCUGGUCCUCAAAAGACGUCCUAGUCUCACCAUGCGGCCAACGUCCAACAAUAGUUUUUCUCGAUCACCCAAGAUAUCCCUUAUCUCAGCUCUAGCACGGCACUCGCUAGCGAAAUCUUCAUUUUUUCUCGCUCGUUUUAAAGACCCAACGAUUUCAAUCAAAUCCCGCAAUUUCGAACAAUGCUAAAAUUUUGUAAAAUUGUAUAUAAGAAAAACAUUCGUGAUAACUCAAGUUUUUGCCUUGUCAUGCAUUACUUCAUCAGCAAAACAUAUUUACGUACAUCCUCAACGCUUCUAUGAAAAACGGCACAUACUCGUAGCCUAGUUAGUUGCUCUUGACCAGCUGAACGUAACUGUUUCCAUGUUUGACGUAAUCUUGAAAACAAGUGAACGUUGUUGUCCAAUGAUAAUCUGCAAGACAAUCUUAACACUCGUGCUCCGUUUACCAAUUGACAACCGUACUCAUAAGUUCCCUGUAAAAAAA